UACGGAGGGUGCAAACGUUGCUCGGAAUUAUUGGGCGUAAAGCGCACGUAGGCGGUUCGGUAAGUCGGAUGUGAAAUCCCUCGGCUCAACCGAGGAAGGGCAUCCGAAACUGCCGGGCUUGAGUACGGAAGAGGGUCUCGGAAUUCCCGGUGUAGAGGUGAAAUUCGUAGAUAUCGGGAGGAACACCAGUGGCGAAGGCGGAGACCUGGGCCGAUACUGACGCUGAGGUGCGAAAGCGUGGGGAGCAAACAGG
rnacentral:rRNA from 1 species